rnacentral:rRNA from 1 species
UACGUAGGUGGCAAGCGUUGUCCGGAAUUAUUGGGCGUAAAGCGCGCGCAGGCGGCCUUUUAAGUCUGAUGUGAAAGCCCACGGCUCAACCGUGGAAGGUCAUUGGAAACUGAAAGGCUUGAGUACAGAAGAGGAAAGCGGAAUUCCACGUGUAGCGGUGAAAUGCGCAGAUAUCAGGAAGAACACCUAUGGCGAAGGCAGCUCUCUGGGACGGUACUGACGCUGAGACGCGAAAGCGUGGGGAGCGAACAGG